GCAGGGAAAGAGAAGGAGAAACCCUCAAACCUUGGAAAUCAGUAAAAUUGAAAGGGGAAUUAAGGCUAAAUUUGGUGCAUGAACACUAAUCCUUGGUCAUUUAAGAUUGCCUAACAAGAGGCUUGAAAGAGAAAUGUUCAAGCAACUGGAAACCUCAAGGCUUGCAAGAUCAAGGUCAAACGAAUUAAGUAUGAGGAUGUAAGGAAUGGUCAAGCGUUGACCCGUUAUGAAUGGGUCAAACGACUUCAGAAUAAGGAUGUAAAGGAAUGGUCAAAGCGUUGACCCGUUAUAAACGGGUCAAAUGAAUUAAGUAUAAGGAUGUAAAGGAAUGAUCACAGCGUUGACCGUUACGAACGGGUCAAACUAAUUAAAUAUGAGGAUGUAAAGGAAUGGUCAAGCGUUGACCCGUUAUGAACGUGUCAAACGAAUUAAGUAUAAGGAUGUAAAGGAAUGGUCAAAGAGUUAACUUGUAAAAUAUUAUUUUCUUACGUGCUUCGUUUAAGUACAC